rnacentral:rRNA from 1 species
AGCGAACGCUGGCGGCAGGCUUAACACAUGCAAGUCGAACGCCCGGGCAACCGGGAGUGGCAGACGGGAGAGUAACACGUGGGAACGUACCCUUCGGUUCGGAAUAACCCAGGGAAACUUGGGCUAAUACCGGAUACGUCCGUAAGGAGAAAGAUUCAUCGCCGAGGGAUCGGCCCGCGUCCGAUUAGCUAGUUGGUGAGGUAAUGGCUCACCAAGGCGACGACGGGUAGCCGGCCCGAGAGGGCGACCGGCCACACUGGGACUGAGACACGGCCCAGACUCCUACGGGAGGCAGCAGUGGGGAAUAUUGCACAAUGGGCGAAAGCCUGAUGCAGCGACGCCGCGUGAGGGAUGACGGCCU